rnacentral:rRNA from 1 species
GGCAGCAUGGAGAGCUUGCUCUCUGAUGGCGAGUGGCGAACGGGUGAGUAAUAUAUCGGAACGUGCCUAGUAAUGGGGAACAACUAACCGAAAGGUUAGCUAAUACCGCAUACGACCUACGGGUGAAAGCAGGGGAUCUUCGGACCUUGCGUUACUAGAGCGGCCGAUAUCUGAUUAGGUAGUUGGUAGGGUAAAGGCCUACCAAGCCGACGAUCAGUAGCGGGUUUGAGAGGAUGAUCAGCAACACUGGGACUGAGACACGGCCCAGACUCC